rnacentral:rRNA from 1 species
AUACGGAGGGUGCAAGCGUUGUCCGGAUUUAUUGGGUUUAAAGGGUGUGUAGGCGGUGUAUUAAGUCAGUGGUGAAAGCCUGCGGCUCAACCGUAGAACUGCCAUUGAUACUGACACACUUGAGUAUGGACGAGGUAGGCGGAAUUUAUGGUGUAGCGGUGAAAUGCAUAGAUACCAUAAAGAACACCGAUAGCGAAGGCAGCUUACUAGGCCAUAACUGACGCUGAGGCGCGAAAGCGUGGGGAGCGAACAGGAUUAGAAACCCCAGUAGUCC